rnacentral:rRNA from 1 species
UAUGUGGUUUAAUUCGAUGCAACGCGAAGAACCUUACCUGGUCUUGACAUCCCGGAGACCCUUAGGAAACUAGGGGUGCUUCCAUCUGGAAGAAUCUGGAGACAGGUGCUGCAUGGCUGUCGUCAGCUCGUGUCGUGAGAUGUUGGGUUAAGUCCCGCAACGAGCGCAACCCUUGCCUUUAGUUGCCAGCAGUUCGGCUGGGCACUCUAAAGGGACUGCCGGUGUUAAACCGGAGGAAGGUGGGGAUGACGUCAAGUCCUCAUGGCCUUUAUGACCAGGGCUACACACGUACUACAAUGGCCGAUACAAAGGGCAGCGACACUGCGAGGUGAAGCCAAUCCCGUAAAAUCGGUCUCAGUCCGGAUUGGAGUCUGCAACUCGACUCCAUGAAGUUGGAAUCGCUAGUAAUCGUGGAUCAGCAUGCCACGGUGAAUACGUUCCCGGGCCUC